GGCGAUCUCACCGCGCUGCUUUACAUGCAAGGCUACAAACGCAGCGAGUUUGUUGCAGACUGACGCCGUCCGUCGAUCGCUGUCCGGAAACGAAAAUGCCCGGCACAUGGCCGGGCAUUUUUAAUAUCUUGGCGAUCUGACGCGUUACUUCACUGCUAGCGCGACGAAGCGCAGUUCACCGCUGCCGUUGGACACCAGAAGCAGCACGGACUUCUUGCC
rnacentral:misc_RNA from 1 species